AGGAGGGGGACCUCAUGCCGCAGCGUGCUGAGAGUGGAGAGUGAUCUCCCAUGCACCUUGGAAUGGAUUCCUAGGGCCACAGAUUUCUCCAGGUACUAGCUUGGAGAAACCUCUGCAGAGCACUCCACUGCCACACCAGAGUCUGGCAAACAGGUACCUUCUGCAUCCCGUGAGGUUCUCUGGUGUCCAGAGCAAUUAUACCUUUCAGCUUCAUCAGAUGGUGCUGUAGAACAACUUUCAUUUUGACAUGUUGGAAAUGUAACCUCAGUAAUGUUGCGGUUUGGAACAGAAGUGAGUCCUGUGUCACACACACACUGGAUCAUGGCAUCAACUAGAUGAAUCUGGCAAGAGAAGAGUGAAGGAGAAAAGUUCUAUUUCUACAUGGAUACCAUGUUAAGCAAUUAUGAAGGACAAUGAUGUAUAGAAAAACACAUGACAGGUGUCUGAAAUAAAGAAGGAGCUGUGGCCAC